rnacentral:rRNA from 1 species
UACGUAGGGUGCAAGCGUUGUCCGGAAUCAUUGGGCGUAAAGAGCGUGUAGGCGGUCCGGUAAGUCGGCUGUGAAAGUCCAAGGCUCAACCUUGGGAUGCCGGUCGAUACUGCCGGACUAGAGUUCGGAAGAGGCGAGUGGAAUUCCCGGUGUAGCGGUGAAAUGCGUAGAUAUCGCUUGGAACGCCAACGGUGAAAACAGGUUGCUGGGGGUGUGCUGACGCUGAGACACGAAAGCCAGGGGAGCGAACGGG